UACGUAGGGUGCAAGCGUUGUCCGGAAUUAUUGGGCGUAAAGCGUGCGUAGGCGGUUCGUUAAGUCUGUUGUGAAAGCCCCGGGCUCAACCUGGGAAUGGCAAUGGAUACUGGCGAGCUAGAGUGUGUCAGAGGAUGGUGGAAUUCCCGGUGUAGCGGUGAAAUGCGUAGAGAUCGGGAGGAACAUCAGUGGCGAAGGCGGCCAUCUGGGACAACACUGACGCUGAGGCACGAAAGCGUGGGGAGCAAACAGGG
rnacentral:rRNA from 1 species